UACAGAGACUGCAAGCGUUAUUCGGAUUCACUGGGCGUAAAGGGUGCGCAGGCGGCCAAGUGUGUUAGGCGUGAAAGCCUGAGGCUUAACCUCAGAAUUGCACCUAAAACUACAUGGCUAGAGCAUUGGAGAGGGUAGCGGAAUUCACGGUGUAGCAGUGAAAUGCGUAGAUAUCGUGAGGAACACCAGAGGCGAAGGCGGCUACCUGGACAAUUGCUGACGCUCAGGCACGAAAGCGUGGGGAGCAAAAAGGG
rnacentral:rRNA from 1 species